UUUCCGUAGGUGAACCUGCGGAAGGAUCAUUAAAUAGUACCACAGAUUACAUAUGCAAAUAUGACAAUCUACUACUAUAUACCACUCCGAGUACUCUUUUUCCAUGUUGCUUCCGCGAGGCAGUCACUUCAAGUGGCCGUUUGCUCCGGAUCUCCCUUCUUGGAGAGCCGGCUGUGGGCGAGAUUUCCUUGCGAAAGGUCAAUUACAAAUCCAAUUAUGUUUUUAUUUUGUGUCUGAAUAGAUUUUUUUUUCUUUCUUUUUUUAAUUAAUAAAUACAAAAAAAAUAAAAUAAAAUACAAAACUUUCAACAACGGAUCUCUUGGUUCUC
rnacentral:misc_RNA from 1 species